UUUAUGGAGAGUUUGAUCCUGGCUCAGGACGAACGCUGGCGGCGUGCUUAACACAUGCAAGUCGAACGGAAAGGCCUAGCUUGCUAGGUACUCGAGUGGCGAACGGGUGAGUAACACGUGGGUGAUCUGCCUCGUACUUCGGGAUAAGCCUGGGAAACUGGGUCUAAUACUGGAUAGGACCAUGCUUUAGUGUGUGUGGUGGAAAGUUUUUCGGUACGAGAUGAGCCCGCGGCCUAUCAGCUUGUUGGUGGGGUAAUGGCCUACCAAGGCGUCGACGGGUAGCCGGCCUGAGAGGGUGGACGGCCACAUUGGGACUGAGAUACGGCCCAGACUCCUACGGGAGGCAGCAGUGGGGAAUAUUGCACAAUGGGCGCAAGCCUGAUGCAGCGACGCCGCGUGGGGGAUGACGGCCUUCGGGUUGUAAACCUCUUUCGCUAGGGACGAAGCUUUUGUGACGGUACCUAGAUAAGAAGCACCGGCUAACUACGUGCCAGCAGCCGCGGUAAUACGUAGGGUGCGAGCGUUGUCCGGAAUUACUGGGCGUAAAGAGCUCGUAGGUGGUUUGUCGCGUCGUCUGUGAAAUUCCGGGGCUUAACUUCGGGCGUGCAGGCGAUACGGGCAUAACUUGAGUGCUGUAGGGGAGACUGGAAUUCCUGGUGUAGCGGUGGAAUGCGCAGAUAUCAGGAGGAACACCGAUGGCGAAGGCAGGUCUCUGGGCAGUAACUGACGCUGAGGAGCGAAAGCAUGGGGAGCGAACAGGAUUAGAUACCCUGGUAGUCCAUGCCGUAAACGGUGGGCGCUAGGUGUGAGGGUCUUCCACGACUUUCGUGCCGUAGCUAACGCAUUAAGCGCCCCGCCUGGGGAGUACGGCCGCAAGGCUAAAACUCAAAGGAAUUGACGGGGCCCGCACAAGCGGCGGAGCAUGUGGAUUAAUUCGAUGCAACGCGAAGAACCUUACCUGGGCUUGACAUAUGCAGGAUCGGCGUAGUGAUACGUUUUCCCUUGUGGUCUGUAUACAGGUGGUGCAUGGUUGUCGUCAGCUCGUGUCGUGAGAUGUUGGGUUAAGUCCCGCAACGAGCGCAACCCUUGUCUUAUGUUGCCAGCACGUGAUGGUGGGGACUCAUGAGAGACUGCCGGGGUUAACUCGGAGGAAGGUGGGGAUGACGUCAAAUCAUCAUGCCCCUUAUGUCCAGGGCUUCACACAUGCUACAAUGGUCGGUACAACGCGCUGCGAGCCUGUGAGGGUGAGCGAAUCGCUGAAAGCCGGCCUCAGUUCGGAUUGGGGUCUGCAACUCGACCCCAUGAAGUCGGAGUCGCUAGUAAUCGCAGAUCAGCAACGCUGCGGUGAAUACGUUCCCGGGCCUUGUACACACCGCCCGUCACGUCAUGAAAGUUGGUAACACCCGAAGCCAGUGGCCUAACCCUUGUGGGAGGAGCUGUCGAAGGUGGGAUCGGCGAUUGGGACGAAGUCGUAACAAGGUAGCCGUACCGGAAGGUGCGGCUGGAUCACCUCCUUUCUAAGGAG
rnacentral:rRNA from 1 species